AAAACAUCGCCUCUUGAACAACCAAUAUAAGAGGUCCCGCCUGCCCAGUGACUAUAAGUUUAACGGCCGCGGUAUUUUGACCGUGCAAAGGUAGCGCAAUCACUUGUCUUUUAAAUGAAGACCUGUAUGAAUGGCAUCACGAGGGCUUAACUGUCUCCUUUCUCCUGUCAAUGAAAUUGAUCUCCCCGUGCAGAAGCGGGGAUAAUAACAUAAGACGAGAAGACCCUAUGGAGCUUUAGGCUCCAGAACAGACUAUGUAAAACACCCUCAUACAAGAGACAAAACCUAUUAGACCCUGUUCUAAAUGCCUUUGGUUGGGGCGACCGCGGGGAAACACACAACCCCCAUGUGGACUAGGAGCACAACCCUCCCACAACCCAGAGUUACAACUCUAAGUAACAGAAUAUCUGACCAACUAAUGAUCCGGCACAGCCGAUCAACGAACCGAGUUACCCUAGGGAUAACAGCGCAAUCCCCUUUUAGAGUCCAUAUCGACAAGGGGGUUUACGACCUCGAUGUUGGAUCAGGACAUCCUAUUGGUGCAGCCGCUAUUAAGGGUUCGUUUGUUCAACGAUUAAAGUCCUACGUGAUCUGAGUUCAGACCGGAGCAAUCCAGGUCAGUUUUCUAUCUAA
rnacentral:rRNA from 1 species